rnacentral:rRNA from 1 species
UGCAAGUCGAGCGGUAGCACAGAGAGCUUGCUCUCGGGUGACGAGCGGCGGACGGGUGAGUAAUGUCUGGGAAACUGCCUGAUGGAGGGGGAUAACUACUGGAAACGGUAGCUAAUACCGCAUAACGUCGCAAGACCAAAGUGGGGGACCUUCGGGCCUCAUGCCAUCAGAUGUGCCCAGAUGGGAUUAGCUAGUAGGUGGGGUAACGGCUCACCUAGGCGACGAUCCCUAGCUGGUCUGAGAGGAUGACCAGCCACACUGGAACUGAGACACGGUCCAGACUCCUACGGGAGGCAGCAGUGGGGAAUAUUGCACAAUGGGCGCAAGCCUGAUGCAGCCAUGCCGCGUGUGUGAAGAAGGCCUUCGGGUUGUAAAGCACUUUCAGCGGGGAGGAAGGCGAUAAGGUUAAUAACCUUGUCGAUUGACGUUACCCGCAGAAGAAGCACCGGCUAACUCCGUGCCAGCAGCCGCGGUAAUACGGAGGGUGCAAGCGUUAAUCGGAAUUACUGGGCGUAAAGCGCACGCAGGCGGUCUGUCAAGUCGGAUGUGAAAUCCCCGGGCUCAACCUGGGAACUGCAUUCGAAACUGGCAGGCUAGAGUCUUGUAGAGGGGGGUAGAAUUCCAGGUGUAGCGGUGAAAUGCGUAGAGAUCUGGAGGAAUACCGGUGGCGAAGGCGGCCCCCUGGACAAAGACUGACGCUCAGGUGCGAAAGCGUGGGGAGCAAACAGGAUUAGAUACCCUGGUAGUCCACGCCGUAAACGAUGUCGAUUUGGAGGUUGUGCCCUUGAGGCGUGGCUUCCGGAGCUAACGCGUUAAAUCGACCGCCUGGGGAGUACGGCCGCAAGGUUAAAACUCAAAUGAAUUGACGGGGGCCCGCACAAGCGGUGGAGCAUGUGGUUUAAUUCGAUGCAACGCGAAGAACCUUACCUGGUCUUGACAUCCACAGAACUUUCCAGAGAUGGAUUGGUGCCUUCGGGAACUGUGAGACAGGUGCUGCAUGGCUGUCGUCAGCUCGUGUUGUGAAAUGUUGGGUUAAGUCCCGCAACGAGCGCAACCCUUAUCCUUUGUUGCCAGCGGUUAGGCCGGGAACUCAAAGGAGACUGCCAGUGAUAAACUGGAGGAAGGUGGGGAUGACGUCAAGUCAUCAUGGCCCUUACGACCAGGGCUACACACGUGCUACAAUGGCAUAUACAAAGAGAAGCGACCUCGCGAGAGCAAGCGGACCUCAUAAAGUAUGUCGUAGUCCGGAUUGGAGUCUGCAACUCGACUCCAUGAAGUCGGAAUCGCUAGUAAUCGUAGAUCAGAAUGCUACGGUGAAUACGUUCCCGGGCCUUGUACACACCGCCCGUCACACCAUGGGAGUGGGUUGCAAAAGAAGUAGGUAGCUUAACCUUCGGGAGGGCGC